UACGAAGGGGGCUAGCGUUGCUCGGAAUUACUGGGCGUAAAGGGCGCGUAGGCGGAUGUUUAAGUCGGGGGUGAAAGCCCAGGGCUCAACCCUGGAAUUGCCUUCGAUACUGGAUAUCUUGAGUUCGGGAGAGGUGAGUGGAAUGCCGAGUGUAGAGGUGAAAUUCGUAGAUAUUCGGCGGAACACCAGUGGCGAAGGCGGUUCUCUGGGCAUCACCUGACGCUGAGGCGCGAAAGCGUGGGGAGCAAACGGG
rnacentral:rRNA from 1 species